rnacentral:rRNA from 1 species
UACGUAGGGGGCGAGCGUUGUCCGGAUUUAUUGGGCGUAAAGCGCGCGUAGGCGGCUGUUCGAGUCGGUAGUGAAAACUCAACGCUUAACGUUGGGCUUGCUAUCGAUACUGGGCGGCUUAGUCUGGUAGGGGAGUCUGGAAUUCCUGGUGUAGCGGUGGAAUGCGCAGAUAUCAGGAGGAACACCGGUGGCGAAGGCGGGACUCUGGGCCAGUACUGACGCUGAUGCGCGAAAGCGUGGGGAGCAAACAGG